UUUUGAUCAUUCAUUCCAUUCCAUUGGUAUUUAUGUGACAGCGAGUACAAGAGCACUCGUAAAAUGUCUACAGCAGAUUGGAUCUCAUUGGAGUCUUCAAGGCACCACUCCUACACAGGUUUCCAGUCCUAUUCAAGGUGGAAAACACGCCUAACUGGGAAGCUGAUGCAAACAGACAUUUCACAUGACUAUAUAGGAGGAAAGAGCUGUAGCAGAAUGUGCAGGAUAGACAGAACUGCGAAGGACCUACAGAUUAGGAGGUGAUCUCAGG